CUUUUUAUGACCUGGACUUCGGGGGAAAAAUCGACAAACGACAGGGAAGAAGUUUAUUUUAAAGCAACAAUCAGACGUCGACAUGACGACGAAGCCCGGACGAGGCCUUUGCUUCCUGGUUAUGUGAGGACAUUCAUCCACAAGUUCAUCUGUUCAAGUGGAUAUAUUCCAACGUUAUUGUCUUUUUCAUAGAAAAACUGAAAGAGGGAACGAUCGGAGCCAAUGAUUUGAAAUAUUGUUUGCUCCCCCAGACGGGCGCAUAGACCGUUGUGGCGACAGAUGAAUACUUUAAGAAGGAGUGUAGGAAGGACAUUAUGUACAAAGUCAGGUCACAGCAAGGAGGUUCCUGGUUUCGAAUCCAGAUUCGGACCAACCCUCGAAAGGAUAAUGCGGGGAAGUGACUGGAUUUACAAGGCUAAUCCCAUUAUGAUGCUGCUGCCAUGUGAGGGCCGGUUGCAGGGAUUAAGGAGCCGAAGGGGUCGGACCUCAGGAUCCAGAUCAGCAGCAAACUGGGGGACGACCGACGACUGACACACACACACACACACACACACUCCGAUGGCACGUGUACACGGCGCAGAUGACGAUGACUGUGACCGACGAGGGGUCUUCACCUGUCGUCUGGAGCUUCACUGACGCGGUACGUGUUCAUGAUCUUUCUUCCUUCUUCUUCUUUUUUUUUUUUUCCAAGACUUGAUGCUUUUGUUUCAGAACUCAGGCACCAACGUUUUUUUCAAAGUGACAAGUUUUUUUUUGGGGGGUACGGAGUCUGAAAGGUGCCAUCAAAAUAAUCAUUUACCUCAUUAGUUAAUUGAUUUUUAUUGAUGUACAUCUAAAUGAUACAUUCAUGAACUCAGUGCAGAGAAACGAACGCAUUCUAAUUCCUCGUUCUGUCUUUUAAAUGGUGAAAUAAUGAUUUCGUUUUUUUAAUUAUACAGAAUCAAAAGAUAAUUCAAAAAGAAAACUUUUAAAUUCUACUUUUCCUUAUUCCAUUUACAAAUGGGUCUGUCUCCAUUUUGAAUUCCACAGGUUAUUUUUUUCCUCCUCCUUCAAACAGAUCAGAAAUUACAAAUAAAAAUAAUAAAAUAAGCUAAUAUAAAUUCCAAAUUAAACAAAAAAAUUUAGUUAAAUGUUCAUUGCUUUAAUUUUAAGGAAACUCUCAUUAAUGUAGCGACGGCUAAGAAUUAGAUGAAGCGUGACAGAGAAGUUGUAAUCGACCAAUAAUUCUAAAUCAUUAUUUAUAAUAUUAUUAUAACUAUAUUAUGAAAUUUACAUCAUGACUACAACAGCAUUUCUGCUUUAGAACAAAAUCAAAAAUGUUUAGUUGUAAAUUUACAGUAUGUUGCUGUGAAUCAUUAGGUGGAGUGACGACACGGAGGUCACGACCUCGUCGCCGCUCCUGGGGAAAUUUGGAAAGUUAUAACAGUCGACAUAGAAGAAUUGAAAUUCUACACACUUACACAUAAAUCACACACGGUGCGGUUUGAAAGUUGAUUACUGCGCUGCGCAUACUUAAUAUCUUUAAUUUGGACUGUUUUUUAGGCAAAACCAUUAAAUUAAUUCAACAAUCAUGAAAAUAUAUAUUUUUUUAGUAUUUCUCCCCCAGAAUCAAAUUCAUGCCAUGUGUUUAUAACACAGUUGCAUUUAGUCCGUCACAUAGGACGGGUAGACUGUAGUAAAGAAUAAAACGAGUAAAAAACAAAUGAAUCAAAUUGAUUUAGGUGGGAUUUUGGAGGCCUGACCUGAGUAUUUACAGUAAAAUCAACAGUAACAAUAAAAAUGAGUCAGAGACACACUAUUCCUUGAAAAACUGUAUGAGUAAAUAAGAACUCUGCCUGCCGAGAAAUCCUCCCACGCUCACUGGAUCCCGACCUUCCAGACUUCGGAGUCACUGUUCAGGAUUCAAAUACCAAGAGGAAUUAAUGACUAUGUGAACCAAAAAGGCAAAUAACUCUGAUUAUCAGGCCGAUUAAACAAUGGCUUUAAUGCUCUUAUCGGGUGUUUUUGUAAUGGUUUUUCAUUUCAGGCUUAUCUUUGGGAUCUAUUACAUCCAUUCACCCGCCUCCUGAGGAAAACAGGGAAAGUUCUCUGCUGAUUCUAAACACUUGGUUUUGUUCAUAGAAAAGUGUUUUUUUUAUGUAUACGUUAUUUCUGACUUCAGUAUUUCAGUGAUGAUAUUACUGUAAGUGUUCGCAUGAAGUGUCAGAGUAGAAUUAUAGCCGGACUCUGGUAUCGCUAAGUGAAAUGACUCGACAGAAAACAGCACUUUAAAUAAGUUCAGAUUGAAAUCUCCAGAAGUUUAUCUGCAGAACAAAUACUGUAAAAAUAAAAAAAAUAUAUAAUUAUUGAGUUGUUUGGGAUUCGGCCAAAAAAAUAAAAUGUUACCAGUCAAACGACACCAUUUGAAAUAAGACGAACAAUAAACUGAACAGGCUGGAAAUGAACUGAGAGUUGUGACUCGUCUGACGGAGCCAGUGAAGGAUUGAGAAGAAAAAGCGCGGGAGCCGUCGAGAGGAGGAAGUUGAAAAGAGCAGCGUACAAACACCUUCAGUGAAAAACCUAUGAAUGAGAUUGAUGUAAAACAAGAACGACACGAGAUCAAAUUAAACGGAAAAUAAGAAGAGGGGGUUUUAAAAGGAUUGAGGAUUUCUCCCUCUCCAUCCCUUUUGCUUCAGGGCGACUUUUAAUUAAAAUCACACACAAAAAUAAAAUCCUCUCAUAUAAGCAGUUUUUCAGAUUUUCCGCAGCGAGCGAGCCCCGACUCUUUUAUUUUUGUACAAGCAACGCAGCAUGUGAUCACGAAAUCUCGUGCUUAAUGAGCCAGAUUUGACUCAACUAUCCCCCCCCCCCCAAAAAAAAAUAGAGAUUAUCUGUAACAGGGGUCCGUUCAAUUUUUAUAUUUUUUUAUUUUUUUUUCAGGACGGAGCUGCUGCCGAUCAAGUGCCAAAGGUCUGUUUUGGAAAAAGAUGAGAGAAUGAUUAACCUGGCUGGCCAAGCGGAUGUGUGUGUCACGAGCUGUCAGUGUCAGUAUCAGUGUGUGUGUGUGUGUGACAGGAGGUGAAGGUCUGGAUGAGGGACGUGAGAUCUGACUCUCAGAGCAGAACAUCUGACCGGAGACGAGAGACGAGAGACGAGAGACGAGAGACGAUGUGCAGGGAGACAAGUGACCGCGUCCCUUGUCCGGGGUCACGGAGGUCGCGAGCGGCCUAGAAAGACCUCAUGCGACAGUUCCAAUACCCAUCACAAAGUCGUGUCGAGUGUGUUUCUCCUUGAGCGGUAGCACACGGAGAUCUGGAAGUGGGGGUCGUUGGAUUUCUUUGUGGCUCCGUCGCAGACGGUAGAGUGAGCUCUGAGGGAAGCAAGUCGGAGUCUGACACAGCGGAGGGUUUUUCUUGUUUUCUUUCGUACUGAAGAGGCAGGAGGAGCGGCCGGCGGCGGUGAGUGCAACCUGCUCCAGGGCCCGCAGGCGUCUACUGCGUCUUCAUCCUCCACCUCCUCGUCCUGCUGCAGCUCUCAGGUAAUCGCAGGAAUAUUACGUGCAUAUCACUGCAGCGGUGACGCCGUAUGGAAAUGACUUGAACUUUGCAUUGUUACGAGGGAGAUCACGGGCAAACCACCUUGGAGGUCAAUCAACGACUGAACUGGUCGCAACCAAUCCAAAAGUUCCGGGAAAUUAUGAUGUAACGGCAUCCUUAAUCCAUAAUUACACUCCUCGCAUAAGGAGGAUGGAACCAAGCCGACAAACCGCGAGAUGAAUCGUCACCAUAAAAAGAAAUUUAUUCGUAGCAAAAAAAAAGGUUUAUAAAUUGGAAAACGGAAAAAAAAACCGCAAAGGCACAAGAGUGCGUACAUAAUUCCAUAAGCCAUUACGAAAGGGUGAUCAGAAUUUCGGGCAGUUGUAAAAUAAAAAAACAAAAAAUUAAAAUGAAACGUUCCAUUAUGAACACAAACGCGAGGUCAUCCCCGUCCGACGAUCAAAGGAUCACAGGCGCGCACGCACGCACACGCACGUGAUCUGUGACGUCAUCGCAUGUAACAGGUAGGGAAUCCUCUAAGAAUCCCAUCCGAAUUAUUAGCAGACACACCGAGGCGAGUCGCCUGACCACCAGCCGCAGAGACGGACGCAGUCCGUGAGGCCGACGACCUGGUAGUGACGACGCGGUCAGAAUGAGCUGGUCCAUCGCUCCGCCGCUUGCUAGAGUUACGGUCAGGGUCAUUAAUAAUCUUAAUUAUGGGAGGUUUACACCUGCAUAGAAAUCUGAUGAAUAAAAUGGUUAAACUGCACAAUUGGAUCCAAUCGCUCUGUCUUGUUAGCUAGCAUAUUCGCUUCCACAGAUGAUGUUCAAAGCUAUUUUUGCAAUUCAAAAAGUGGUCAACAUGAAACGACCUCCUUCCAUUUAGGUGAAAUUAUGAAUUUGUGACAGUUUACCGGAUCCGUUUGCUUUAACUCUGCGUCUCUGCUUUUUCCCUUCUGGGUCU
ensembl:lncRNA